rnacentral:rRNA from 1 species
UACGUAGGGGCAAGCGUUGUCCGGAAUCAUUGGGCGUAAAGCGCGUGUAGGCGGCCGGUAAGUCCGCUGUGAAAGUCGGGGCUCAACCCUCGAAUGCCGGUGGAUACUGUCGGGCUAGAGUGCGGGAGAGGCGAGUGGAAGUUCCUGGUGUAGCGGUGAAAUGACGCAGAUAUCAGGAGGAACACCAAUUGCGAAGGCAGCUCGCUGGAACGUAACUGACGCUGAGACGCGAAGCGUGGGGAGCAAACAGG